rnacentral:rRNA from 1 species
AUUGAACGCUGGCGGCAGGCCUAACACAUGCAAGUCGAGCGGGGUUUUCGGACCUAGCGGCGGACGGGUGAGUAAUGCGUAGGAAGCUGCCCGAUAGAGGGGGAUACCAGUUGGAAACGACUGUUAAUACCGCAUAAUGUCUACGGACCAAAGUGUGGGACCUUCGGGCCACAUGCUAUCGGAUGCGCCUACGUGGGAUUAGCUAGUUGGUGAGGUAAUGGCUCACCAAGGCGACGAUCUCUAGCUGGUUUGAGAGGAUGAUCAGCCACACUGGAACUGAGACACGGUCCAGACUCCUACGGGAGGCAGCAGUGGGGAAUAUUGGACAAUGGGCGCAAGCCUGAUCCAGCCAUGCCGCGUGUGUGAAGAAGGCCUUCGGGUUGUAAGGCACUUUCAGCGAGGAGGAAGGGAUGUAUGUUAAUAGCAUGCAUUUUUGACGUUACUCGCAGAAGAAGCACCGGCUAACUCUGUGCCAGCCGCCGCGGUAAGAC